UCCAGACUCCUACGGGAGGCAGCAGUGAGGAAUAUUGGUCAAUGGGCGUAAGCCUGAACCAGCCAAGUCGCGUGAGGGACGACGGCCCUACGGGUUGUAAACCUCUUUUGCCGGGGGACAAACGGCGGCACGCGUGCCGUCCUGAGGGUACCCGGAGAAAAAGCAUCGGCUAACUCCGUGCCAGCAGCCGCGGUAAUACGGAGGAUUCAAGCGUUAUCCGGAUUUAUUGGGUUUAAAGGGUGCGUAGGCGGUCGGAUAAGUUAGAGGUGAAAUCCCGAGGCUCAACUUCGGAAUUGCCUCUGAUACUGUUCGGCUAGAGAGUAGUUGCGGUAGGCGGAAUGUAUGGUGUAGCGGUGAAAUGCUUAGAGAUCAUACAGAACACCGAUUGCGAAGGCAGCUUACCAAGCUACUUCUGACGUUGAGGCACGAAAGCGUGGGGAGCAAACAGGAUUAGAUACCCCGGUACG
rnacentral:rRNA from 1 species